AUUGAACGCUGGCGGCAUGCCUUACACAUGCAAGUCGAACGGCAGCGGGCCUUCGGGUGCCGGCGAGUGGCGAACGGGUGAGUAAUGCAUCGGAACGUGCCAUUGAGUGGGGGAUAACGUAGCGAAAGUUACGCUAAUACCGCAUAUUCUGUGAGCAGGAAAGCAGGGGACCGCAAGGCCUUGCGCUCUUUGAGCGGCCGAUGUCAGAUUAGCUAGUUGGUGAGGUAAAGGCUUACCAAGGCGACGAUCUGUAGCGGGUCUGAGAGGAUGAUCAGCCACACUGGGACUGAGACACGGCCCAGACUCCUACGGGAGGCAGCAGUGGGAAUAUUGGACAAUGGGCGAAAGCCUGAUCCAGCCAUGCCGCGUGAGUGAUGAAGGCCCUAGGGUUGUAAAGCUCUUUCGCCAGGGACGAUAAUGACGGUACCUGGAUAAGAAGCCCCGGCUAACUUCGUGCCAGCAGCCGCGGUAAU
rnacentral:rRNA from 1 species